rnacentral:ncRNA from 1 species
CCGGCAGCAGCGGGAGAGACUCGGCCUUUGGGUCGAGCGCCGAAGGAGCAACCGCCCCGGAAUCUCUCAGGCAAAAGGACCGCUGCCGCGCG